rnacentral:rRNA from 1 species
UAUAAGAGACAGCAGCAGCCGCGGUAAUACGUAGGGGGCGAGCGUUGUCCGAAGUUACUGGGCGUAAAGCGCGCGUAGGCGGCUUCUUAAGUCUGAGGUGAAAGGUUCAACGCUUAACGUGAACAGUGCCUUGGAUACUGGGGAGCUUGAGUAUGGGAGAGGGCAGUGGAAUGGCUGGUGUAGCGGUGAAAUGCGUAGAUAUCAGUCGGAACACCCAUGGCGAAGGCAGCUGCCUGGCCUAAUACUGACGCUGAGGUGCGAAAGCGUGGGGAGCGAACGGGAUUAGAGACCCCGGUAGUCCCUGUCUCUUAUA